rnacentral:rRNA from 1 species
CCUACGGGAGGCUGCAGUGAGGAAUAUUGGUCAAUGGGCGGGAGCCUGAACCAGCCAAGCCGCGUGAGGGAAGAAGGUACAGCGUAUCGUAAACCUCUUUUGUCAGGGAACAAAGGCGGGGACUAGUCCCCGGAUGAGGGUACCUGAAGAAAAAGCAUCGGCUAACUCCGUGCCAGCAGCCGCGGUACUACGGAGGAUGCGAGGGUUAUCCGGAUUUAUUGGGUUAAAAGGGUGCGCAGGCGGCCUGUUAAGUCAGCGGGAAAAGCCCGGGGCUCAACCCCGGCGGGCCGUUGAACCUGGCGGGCUGGAGUUGGAGAGAAGUACGCGGAAUGCGCGGUGUAGCGGUGAAAUGCUUAGAUAUCGCGCAGAACCCCGAUGGCGAAGGCAGCGUACCGGCUCCACACUGACGCUGAGGCACGAAAGCGUGGGUAUCGAACAGGAUUAGAUACCCCUGUAGUC